rnacentral:rRNA from 1 species
AGCGCAGGUGGUUUAUUAAGUCUGGUGUAAAAGGCAGUGGCUCAACCAUUGUAUGCAUUGGAAACUGGUAGACUUGAGUGCAGGAGAGGAGAGUGGAAUUCCAUGUGUAGCGGUGAAAUGCGUAGAUAUAUGGAGGAACACCGGUGGCGAAAGCGGCUCUCUGGCCUGUAACUGACACUGAGGCUCGAAGCGUGGGAGCAAACA